CCUACGGGAGGCUGCAGUGGGGAAUAUUGGACAAUGGGGGGAACCCUGAUCCAGCGACGCCGCGUGAGUGAAGAAGUAUUUCGGUAUGUAAAGCUCUAUCAGCAGGGAAGAAAAUGACGGUACCUGACUAAGAAGCCCCGUCUAACUACGUGCCAGCAGCCGCGGUAAUACGGAGGGGGCCAGCGUUAUCCGGAUUUACUGGGGGUAAAGGGAGUGUAGACGGGGCAGCAAGUCUGAUGUGAAAGGUCGGGGCCCAACCCCGGGACUGCAUUGGAAACUGUUGAACUGGAGUACAGGAGAGGUAAGCGGAAUGCCUGGUGUAGCGGUGAAAUGCGUAGAUAUUGGGAAGAACACCAGUGGCGAAGGCGGCUUGCUGGACAGAGACUGACGUUGAGGCUCGAAAGCGUGGGGAGCAAACAGGAUUAGAUACCCCUGUAGUC
rnacentral:rRNA from 1 species